ACUUUGUUCUAGUGAGGCCGUAAUGCCAAGAAGAAGAACGAUUAUCUAGUAGUUCCGGACCUCAAAUACAUAAAAAUCUUGGUUAAACAGGGAGGUGAGAAAAAGAAACAUUCGGGCUAUUUCUAGAAUGAAAUGAAGGAAUAUAAUGAACCAUCUAGUUUCAGUUUCCUGAUGAUUAGUAGAGAGUAAAGGGAAUACUUCAAGUAAUUCCGGUCUACUUCUCCAUAAGAAACGAAGAGGAUAGAAAACCUGGUCCGUUUCUGUAACAAGAACGAAGGGAAAUUGUGAAAAUUCGGCCCAUUUCUGGAAAGAAAUGAAGGAAUAACACAAAUCUUCCGGUCCGCUCUUAGUCAGUUUUUAGAGAGUAUAGAGAACACAAUGAGUGAUUCUGGUCUACUUCUCUGUAAGAAAUGUAGAGGAUGAAAUAUUCCUAGCCUUUUUCUGGAAAAAGAACGUAGGGAUGUCGUGGAAUUUCGGACCUGUUCAAAAGAUGACAGUAGGAAUAAAACGCAUCAUCCGGUCCGUUUCUUGAAAAAUGUUAGAAAACCAUAUGAAACAUGAAAAAAACGAAACAAUCCAUUAACUUGUUCUAUAAAAAAAAGGUUUCUGAAUACAAUAAGAAAGACCAGAUGUAGGAGAUUCGUCUCAGUCCUUCUGGCAGUUCAGUACACUCAAGAUGAAGGGAAAUGCAAAGGAAGCAAAACGAUUCAAUUUGCAAUCGAAAAGUCCAGAUGUAGUAAAUAUAACACUUUAUGUUUCUCACAGAUAAGACUAUUAAGAAAUAAAUGUGAUUCAUAGUUGGUUUAAUUAGGUUAUAGAAAAAUUGUGUUCUCAAGUGGUAAUGAGACACAAAAGAUACUAUUUCUCAUAAAAUUACUUGACAUCCUUUUUUUUAAUUUUUAGACCAUUCAUCGUAGUUUCCAAAAAGGAAUAGAAGUACUGACGGUGGCGGUGAUCGUCUUUUACAUGAUAUAACGUUCAAAAAUGAAGAACGGACAAGAAAGAACCAAAUUUUAUGUAGAAGCAGGAGCUUGAUCAGUAAUGGUUGUAGGAAAAACGUAAGGUACAUAAUUUAAAAAUAAAAGGGGAGAAAGCAGUUACUAAAUGAAGCUAAAUGAUUCAAGAGAUCGUGUGGUGAAAAUGAAAUAAUUCCAACAUCACUGACGUCAAUACUACAAGGAAACACCCAAAGAUGACAUGCUUAAAACUUUCUGGCAGAGAGAUCAACCGUUCGUACUAUGAAGCAUUCGCAAUGGGAAUCUUGAUAUGGUAUAUUCCAUAUUCCAGUAUAGCUUAUUUAACUUGCCCACUAGUUUAUGAAUUGUACUGUAUUAAUUUUGAUUUAUGGAAAAAAGGAGAGAUGUAGUAUUGUGUUGAUGUAUGAAUUAAGAGUAGGCCAUGCUGGAGAGCGAUGACAGGAGGAAGAGUAAAUAAACCAUUGUGAUUCUAUAUUCCAAAACCUAAA